rnacentral:rRNA from 1 species
UACGAAGGGGGCUAGCGUUGUUCGGAAUUACUGGGCGUAAAGCGUGCGCAGGCGGUUUUGUAAGCCAGAUGUGAAAUCCCCGGGCUUAACCUGGGAAUGGCAUUUGGGACUGCAAGGCUGGAGUGUGGCAGAGGAGACUGGAAUUCCCGGUGUAGCAGUGAAAUGCGUAGAUAUCGUAAGGAAGACCAGUGGCGAAGGCGGGUCUCUGGACAGUUCCUGACGCUGAGGCACGAAGGUCAGGGGAGCAAACGGG